rnacentral:piRNA from 1 species
UGCUGACCAGUGGAGACGGGCGCUCCACC